rnacentral:rRNA from 1 species
CAGCCGCCGCGGGAAAACGAAGGGGGCUAGCGUUGUUCGGAUUUACUGGGCGUAAAGGGCGCGUAGGCGGACUGAUAAGUCAGGGGUGAAAUCCCAAGGCUCAACCUUGGAACUGCCUUUGAUACUGUUUGUCUUGAGUUCGAGAGAGGUAAGUGGAACUGCGAGUGUAGAGGUGAAAUUCGUAGAUAUUCGCAAGAACACCAGUGGCGAAGGCGGCUUACUGGCUCGAAACUGACGCUGAGGCGCGAAAGCGUGGGGAGCAAACAGGAUUAGAUACCCGGGUAGUCCCUGUCUCUUAUAA